AAAAAACUAAAUUCAGCCAAAAUGAAGUGAACAUUAGCUUUCAUUCAUAACUCACAAGCACGUUCUUCAAGAAGGAACAUCACCAUUUGCUAUUGCAUAGGCUGCACCGUAACAUUCAAAGACAAGCUUCCAAAACUAAAGAAACGUUCCAGCUUUGUAAAAUAAAAAGGAAAAAAUUGUUCUUCUUCAUUCAACCAAAAUCAAACAAUGCUAUUGGAAGCUCCAUGAAAGAAAAACACGUUCCAGAAAAGUGUCUUUUUUCUAAUGACGGCUGCUAGCUCUCCCCCAAGGCCAUGAGUUUUUUUGUCAUAAAUUAGGGUGGGGUCCACCCUACCCUAGGUGCCAAGUGUCAAUUUUUUACUAUUGGACUCAACAACAAAUUCCAAAAAUUGGCCCACAAUGAAAAAGUUUGUCUAAAAAUUCUAAACUACUAAAUUAAAAUACAACUAAUUCUAAAAUGCUUAUGGGAGAGUCUUGAUUUAUUUUGUCCCCCUUCCCAAUGCUCCAA
rnacentral:lncRNA from 1 species